AGGGAACGCCACCAGUGGGUACAUGCACCUGCUAAGCGUGCCCUGCUGAGCAGCAGAGACAAAGGUCCCGUAUACAUGAAACCUGCCAGAAGAGACACCGACAACCAAACAAGAUAACGUGUACAGCAAAGGCGGCUCUCCGUCCAAGAAUUGUCUAAAAGAACAUUACCAUCCUGGCUGCCAGCAGCCAUAGACACAUCACAGGAAGCAAGCGGCUGCCUUGUUCCGCGGGAUAAAGAGCAGAUGUCUCAGCUGCUCAGAUACACAGAGUGCUGGACACUGAGGUCCUCCCACCGUCCACAGAACCCCUGACCAGGGUCCUCCCCAGAGCUGAGCGCACCAAACUCUGGGUGAGGCCUGCAGCACAUGCUACUGCAGAAGAGGCUUCCACAUCUGUCUCACUGCUGUGCCACGUCUCAUGGUCACCUCAAGAGUCACCAAAUAUUUGAGGGCCAGGCAAAGGUGGGAGCGGGAAAGAGAUGCAAAGGUUCCUGAAGACAAACCAGCCCUGCAUUCAGGAUCCUUGAUCUAAUCAGACGUGCAGACACCAGGUAAUGAAGCUCUGCCUGAGCCAACUCCGGGGAGACUCCAGUGCGCUGUGCCCUGGAACUGGAGACGGAGCCACCGGAGAGCCGAGGAGGAGGGCAGUGGGCACAACUCAGCACACCCCUUAAUAUCAUCCGUCAGUCACUG
rnacentral:lncRNA from 1 species